rnacentral:rRNA from 1 species
AGCGAACGCUGGCGGCAGGCUUAACACAUGCAAGUCGAGCGGGCACUUUCGGGUGUCAGCGGCGGACGGGUGAGUAACGCGUGGGAACGUGCCCUCUGGUUCGGAAUAACUCAGGGAAACUUGAGCUAAUACCGGAUACGCCCUUUUGGGGAAAGGCUUGCUGCCGGAGGAUCGGCCCGCGUCUGAUUAGCUAGUUGGUGAGGUAACGGCUCACCAAGGCGACGAUCAGUAGCUGGUCUGAGAGGAUGAUCAGCCACACUGGGACUGAGACACGGCCCAGACUCCUACGGGAGGCAGCAGUGGGGAAUAUUGGACAAUGGGCGCAGGCCUGAUCCAGCCAUGCCGCGUGAGUGAUGAAGGCCUUAGGGUUGUAAAGCUCUUUUAUCCGGGACGAUAAUGACGGUACCGGAGGAAUAAGCCCCGGCUAACUUCGUG